rnacentral:lncRNA from 1 species
UGGUAAUUGGAUAGGGAAGAAAUCUAUUUUACAAGGCUCAUAUUGACAUGCCAUUUUCAUUGGGGAUCAGUAAUUGGGAGAUGUAUCUAUGGCAUCCAUAAGGAAAAAUCUUGAAACCUAAGAGGAAGUUUCAUUUUCCAAAAGAGCUAGGCUUGUGUUGUUGGAACUCUGCUUUUAACUGAAUUCCACUGUAAUUGCUCUUCUCUUUCUAGGUGUUGGUGGACUGUGCUUGACUUACUGUGAAAUGGUGGAAGCUGGAGAAGCAAAAAAUGACAGUUUCUCAUUUUGGAAGAUUACUGUGAACUACA